rnacentral:rRNA from 1 species
CCUACGGGUGGCAGCAGUGAGGAAUAUUGGUCAAUGGGCGUAAGCCUGAACCAGCCAAGUCGCGUGAGGGAUGAAGGUUCUACGGAUUGUAAACUUCUUUUAUAAGGGAAUAAAGUGCGGGACGUGUCCCGUUUUGUAUGUACUUUAUGAAUAAGGAUCGGCUAACUCCGUGCCAGCAGCCGCGGUAAUACGGAGGAUCCGAGCGUUAUCCGGAUUUAUUGGGUUUAAAGGGUGCGUAGGUGGCAUGUUAAGUCAGUGGUGAAAGUUUGCGGCUCAACCAUAAAAUUGCCGUUGAUACUGGGAGUCUUGAGUACGUUUGAGGCAGGCGGAAUGCGUGGUGUAGCGGUGAAAGGCUUAGAUAUCACGCAGAACCCCGAUUGCGAAGGCAGCAUACCAAGCCAUCACUGACACUGAUGCACGAAAGCGUGGGGAUCAAACAGGAUUAGAUACCCCAGUAGUC